GACGAACCGUGCAACCGUUAUUCGGAAUCACUGGGCUUAAAGGGCGCGUAGGCGGGCUCGCCAGUCAGGGGUGAAAGCCCACGGCUCAACCGUGGAAGUGCCUUUGAUACUGCGAGUCUCGAGGGAGGUAGGGGCGUGCGGAACUUCCGGUGGAGCGGUGAAAUGCGUAGAUAUCGGAAGGAACAUCGGUGGCGAAAGCGGCGCGCUGGACCUCUUCUGACGCUGAGGCGCGAAAGCCAGGGGAGCAAACGGG
rnacentral:rRNA from 1 species